GCUUCGGUGGUCGAGUGGGAAGACGCUGGAUUGCAAAUCCAGAAAUCGCGGGUUCAAAUCCCGCUCGAAGCU
rnacentral:tRNA from 1 species